GAGAUAGGCUCGCUAGCACCGGAAACUGCUAAUUUCCGUCCACCUCGGUUGAACCCCAAGGCUAACUCG
rnacentral:tRNA from 1 species